GAUGAACGCUGGCGGCGUGCUUAAUACAUGCAAGUAGAACGCUGAAGCUUUGGUGCUUGCACCGAGCGGAUGAGUUGCGAACGGGUGAGUAACGCGUAGGUAACCUGCCUCUUAGCGGGGGAUAACUAUUGGAAACGAUAGCUAAUACCGCAUAAAAGACGAUAUCGCAUGAUAUUGAUUUGAAAGGUGCAAAUGCAUCACUAAGAGAUGGACCUGCGUUGUAUUAGCUAGUUGGUGAGGUAACGGCUCACCAAGGCAACGAUACAUAGCCGACCUGAGAGGGUGAUCGGCCACACUGGGACUGAGACACGGCCCAGACUCCUACGGGAGGCAGCAGUAGGGAAUCUUCGGCAAUGGGGGCAACCCUGACCGAGCAACGCCGCGUGAGUGAAGAAGGUUUUCGGAUCGUAGAGCUCUGUUGUAAGAGAAGAACGAGUGUGAGAGUGGAAAGUUCACACUGUGACGGUAACUUACCAGAA
rnacentral:rRNA from 1 species